UACGGAGGAUGCGAGCGUUAUCCGGAUUUAUUGGGUUUAAAGGGUGCGCAGGCGGAUUUUUAAGUCAGCGGUCAAAUCGUGGGGCUCAACCCCAUCCAGCCGUUGAAACUGGGGAUCUAGAGUGUGCGAGAGGUACGCGGAAUGCGUGGUGUAGCGGUGAAAUGCAUAGAUAUCACGCAGAACCCCGAUUGCGAAGGCAGCAUACCGGUGCACAACUGACGCUCAGGCACGAAAGCGUGGGUAUCGAACAGG
rnacentral:rRNA from 1 species